rnacentral:sRNA from 1 species
ACAUCGUUUUCUCAUCCAACGGUCACAAUUAAAAAUUAGGUAAACAACAAAGCUUACGUACUAACUAGGGGUGUCAAAAUGGGUAACCCAACACAACUCAACUCAUAAUCAAAUGAGUUUAGAGUUAAAUAAGUUAUGGGUUGACUCAACUCAUUUUAUUUGAUAGGUUGAGUUGUUAAAUGGGUUAACCCAUCUAAGUAAUAAUUUAAUUAAUAAU